GACGAACCGUGCGAACGUUAUUCGGAAUCACUGGGCGUAAAGCGUGCGCAGGCGGUUCGCUAAGACAGAUGUGAAAUCCCCGGGCUUAACCUGGGAACUGCAUUUGUGACUGGCGGGCUAGAGUAUGGCAGAGGGGGGUAGAAUUCCACGUGUAGCAGUGAAAUGCGUAGAGAUGUGGAGGAAUACCGAUGGCGAAGGCAGCCCCCUGGGCCAAUACUGACGCUCAUGCACGAAAGCGUGGGGAGCAAACAGG
rnacentral:rRNA from 1 species